GUAGGUGAACCUGCGGAAGGAUCAUUAACACUUUUAUCCACGUGUCUAAACAUCCGUUUAGGCAUAAACCCCCUUCAUAGCGAACUAGUCGGCUCGGCCUUAAAACCGCUGAUCCGUCAUUUUUUCUCCUUUUUUCUUUUAUUAACUUUUUAAACCCAAUUGAACUUUCUAGACUGAAACUUUGUUGUAGGCGAAAGCUUGCAUCGAAAAAAUUAAAAUUCUAAACAACUCUUAACAACGGAUAUCUUGGUUCUC
rnacentral:misc_RNA from 1 species